AACUUUGCGCAGAGGCAAUAUCGUAACCGAUGAGGUUAAUCCGAGGUGCGAUUAUUGCUAGUUGAAAACUUU